GAUGAAGAACGCAGCGAAAUGCGAUAAGUAAUGUGAAUUGCAGAAUUCAGUGAAUCAUCGAAUCUUUGAACGCACCUUGCACCCUUUGGUAUUCCGAAGGGUAUGCUCGUUUGAGUGUCAUUGUACUCUCACACUUCUAAUUCCUUUCGGGAUUGGGAGCGGUGGACUUGGGUGUUGCUGCUUUAGUUGUGGCUCACCUCAAAUAAGUUAGUGCAACUCUUGGUUGGACAUAGUACGGCGUGAUAAGUGUCUUCGCCGGCGCCUCUGUAAGGAGGGUGGCCGAUCGGGAGCUCUGUGCUUCAAUCCGUCUUCGGACAAUCUUUGACAACUUGACCUCAAAUCGAGUAGGACUACCCGCUGAACUUAAGCAUAUCAAUAAGCGGAGGA
rnacentral:misc_RNA from 1 species